rnacentral:lncRNA from 1 species
ACCAACAGCAAAACACACAAUGUGGCAAUGAGGUAACAUAAACCAUAUUGACAUGUGUAAUUAAUGUACACUUGCCAAGAAUGCAGGAUUACGACGGAGUUCUGAGGAAAGCAAUGGAUAUAUGAGGAUGUUCUACUAUAAUAUGGUAAAAACUUAGAAUCAAACACAAAAGAAAAAUAAUUGCUCUUUCAUUCACAUGGUUGGUGGUUGAUAUGUAUGCUAGCACUGAUGGCCUCUUUUGCAACCUAGUGCACCAGCAUUGGAAGUCAUGGAACCAACCAUGGAAGAAGAUUUGGCACCUAAGCUUGAGGCCCUGGCAUAGCUGGCUGAGGCUCCGGCUCCUGAUGGUGUGAAAAAGGCACCAUUCAGCAACAAAUCUCCCUCAGACCUCCAAUUCCAACCCUUCCACUGACUUUCUGCUGUUUCCACUCUCUUAGUCACCUGUCAACACCAAGAAUUUUUUUUCUCAAUCAAUUAGUGAAAGUGGCUUAACUAAAACGUCAUCAAUUUACAGCAUCACAUGGAUUGAUUGUCCUAUUGUACCUCCUUUGCAAAAGGGUUAACAGGAGCAUUGUAUCGGUUUCCCUGGCUGUUAAUGGUGGGGUUAGCACUUCCACCAAUGGCAUACAUUUCCCAGUGAGUAUAGUCAUUGUUCACCACGUGAAAAUAUCCAUGUCUACACCUGCAUUAUUCAUGACCAGUCUUUUGUUAGAUUAGAUAAUAUAAUAUUCCACCUCUGAUUUGAAAUACAUCAUUGCAGGAGGGGACAAAAUAGCCCUAUCCAGUUGUUGAUUAAUGGCUACAUCAUCUGGUCCCGCACAACUAAUUCGUCUAAAAAAUUUGUGAUUUCCUUAAACUGAAGAAGAAAGCUUACAAACAAAAUUAAUGCACCAAAGAGGGUCGCUGCGAGUCUGCCCAUCCAGACCAACCAAACUUGUGGUUACAUUUAUUUGCAUUUAAAGCACACAAAGAGGAAAACAAGCAAAGAGGUUUCAAUGCAAAAAGUGAUAUUAAAUAUUACCGUGGCAUUCUCUGGAUAAGUCCCUCUCCGAAAUGGUUGUAUGCGAUGGUCACUUGCAUGAGCUUGUCUCUUGUGUAAGAGUCACUGUGGCCCAGCAGAAUCACCUGAAUUCGCAAAGAAAUACAGACUUGAUCAAUGAUUCAACAAUGGAAAAAGUGCACUUUGACACAGGAAACGAGAGUGAAAGUACCUCAUUGUGGUGAGUGAAGUGGUUGUUUGAAAUAGUAAUGGCUGUUGAGCCCAAGACAGCAUCCACAAGGCCAUCAGCACAGUGGGACAAGGAGUUGUGGUCAACCCAAAUGUGGCUUGAGCUAAAUAUGGAGAUGGCAUCUCCAUCAGCCAUUGUCCUCCACCCAAAGUGGGUGGGGGAGCUCCUCACCAUGGCAUUUCCGGUAGGUACGCAGUCAUGAAUAUGCAGGCCAUGGAUGAUGACAUUGGUAACAAACUGAAUUGUGAUACAUGCCCCAUUAGCAAUGUGCACAUUGGCUCCUCUUCCAUCAAUGGUCUUGAAGCUGUUCAUGAUUAGCUCUUGCUUCAACUGAAUAACCAUGUCCCUCUUGAACACAAUCCACAAGGGCCUAUCCUGUAUCACAGCAUGACGAAGAGUGCCAGGUUUGGGGUUCACAGGGUCAUCAUCCCUGGGGUCAGUCACAACAUAGAACUUUCCAUCGCGACCACCAAUGGCAUUUCUGCCGAAUCCAAUGCCACAAUCUGCAAGACGCUUCCUGUUGCGCUGCCAGUUGGGGUCACAACGCCAGCAAUCAUCAAUGGGGUUACCAGUUCCACAAGAGAAAAACCCCAGAUUCCUUCUCUGUGUACUAUUCUGGAUGCUCCUGUAAUAUCAACAACAUUGUUUUCUUAGUGCCAUCAUUGUCAAGCAACUAUCUUUAUUUUACGUUAUCUUAACAAAUACAUAGUUUAAUAAAAUGCCAAGAUCUGAUACAAGUUGAACACAUUUGGUGUUACAAAUUGAACAACAUUGCUUUCAUGAUGCCAUUACUGUAAUCAUACACCCUUGUUAGGUGUGGUACAAGUUCUUUCAAUCUAGACUAACCAAUCAGUCCUCAUGUAAUUUCCAAUUUUGUUUCCUUCAAACACUAACAGUUUAAAACCAUGACUAUGGGUUAAAAAUUUAACACAAUUUGUUUGCAUAUGCUCGUGUUAAAUUCCUAUGUGGCAUGUAUGUGAAUGCAGACAAAAUGUUCUCUGGCUUUUUGGAUCCACAAUAAUUAGACCUCAUCUAAAUGAAUAGAGUCAGCUAACGGGAAUAAAAUAAAGCAACUGGACACUACCCAAGAUAAAACUUUUAGUAAAUCUCCUUGAGCCUAGUGGAGGAAACAAAACGAUGUCAAAAUAAUUUAUCCAUGUGACGAGUGAAGACAAAAGGAAUUUUCCUAAUUGUAACGGCUAAAAAUUCUUGCCUUUUUUUCUGGAAUAGAAGAUAUGGUAAAUAUGCUUUUCUGUCUUGACAUGGAUCUUACCCAAAUAUGCAACUGUGGCCACGUUGCGAGGAAUCACUAACCAACACAUGGUAAAUUUUUAUGCAAAAAACUCAAUCCAAAUAUCAAGCACCGAAAAUUUUGGUCAGAAUUGCUAGAAGUAACUGUUUUUAAUGGGAAAGAAAGAGUUGUACCCGAAAGUACAACACAUUUAUGAGGAAACAUUCAUUAAUUUGCUUGUAGGCAAAGGGAUUAGAUUUAUAAUGGCAUGUAAAAGCACCAUGAGCGUGAAGAAGGGUAUAUCAUGAGAAAGUGCAUGUGACUGAAACAUGAAAAGGAGAGAGAGAGAGACCAUGACCGAAAACGUUUCUGGUUAGUGACAAGGUAAUUUCCCAACUUGAGAUGCCACAAAAGGGUCAAAAAGAAGAAAAGGUUAAGUCUUCAAAGUUUCAAAUUGAUUGAACUGUGGCAAAAUCAGGAAAGUAAAGUGAUUGAAAAAAUGGGUGAGUUGGAUAAAUAGUUAGGUCUCAAUUCUCAAGAGGGGAGUUAUGAGUGCCACCAAAAUGCCACGGCACACCACUAUCCUACCCUCAUUACACUCAAUAGUCCCUACUCCCAUGUGAAUGAAUAAAUUAACAAAAACAUAUUAAAACAUUAUAGAUCAUUAUAGGUUCAUGUAAUUUUGUCUUUUGCUUUAACUUAUGUGCUUAGCUACGAAGGGACAUUGUAAAAAGAAGGUUGGUCUGUGUCAGUGAAAAUGAAGAGAGAGAGAAAGAAAUAGAGACCCACAUCUCAACCAUUGAAACCACUUCCUCUGGGUUAGCCACUGCAGCUUGUUCAUUUAACUUUUCAGCCUCCAGUGCCCUGAAAGAAACAGUUACAAGCACAGUCACAAUCUUAAACAAUAAAUAAGCAAACAAACUACUAAUUCAAUGAUUAUAUUAUUUCACUAAGUAGGGUUAGUUAUAGUUGUCUUAUGACAACAUUAAACUUUAUAUAAUGAAUCAAUUUUUCUUUCAAUAACAAAUGUUUGACUUAUUCACUAAAUGUAAACAUAGCAACAAUAAAUAAACUACACCUUUUGGUGAAAUUGUAAGGAAAAUUAAUAUAUAUAUAUAUAUAUAUAUAUAUAUAUAUAUAUAUAUAUAUAUAAAUAAAAUACUUUAUUGCAGUCGGCAACCGUGACCUGUUAACAAAUGUCCUUUUUGUACUAUAUAAUAAAUUAAAUAUUUAAUAAAUACAAAAGGAGAAACAAAUUGUUUUCCUUCAAAACAAAUAAAGACUUAUUUUAGAAAAAAAAAUUGACAGCACAAUGUUAAAAUAAAAUUAAAGGAGAAUAAAAAACGCAACAGGGACACUUGUCGGUGAGAGAUUUGAGUGAGUUCCGUGAAUAUAUUUGCUCCGUAAAAAGUUAAAGUGAAAAAACAACAACUUGAUAAAAGCCGUUAAGAUAAAAAUUUAUUCACCUUAUCCUCCGGAUAAUGACCAAAAUACUCUUAAGAGAAGAAAAUAUUAUAACACAUUGGGAGGGUAGUUUUGGAAGAGGAAAAAAGUUUGUUGACGGUUAACCAACUCUUUAAUGAGGUGGUGUGGGAGUUAUUUUGCUUUUGCAGAAUCCUCAAAGCAAACAGACACAGAGAAGAACGAACAUAACCGAAUAAACGAUCCAGAUCGAAGCAUCAACGAUUUUUCAACGGCUGUGAUCGUUUGCUCGAUCCAAUGGCUGAGACUUAAAGUUCUAACUUAGAACACAAGGUCCAGAUUAACCGGCGUUUCAAGAAAGAAAGAACACUAACCUCUCCGCCAUUGACGAGUUCUGCAAGCUCGGCAACCUGUGUUUUUUCACUUCAACAUUCCUAUAGCCAAAACAAAAAUGAAAAGGAAAAAAUGUCUCAGAGCAAGAUCUUCGUUUUCUCUCUGUUUUCACAAAAAACGAGUGUUUAACUUGAAAAGUAGAAUUGAGAUUUUCCUUUUCAAAAACCAAACAAGUCGCAAUGUGUUUAGCUUUCUCUGGUUUGUAGUUAAAAGCUGUAUAACAGUGGUAAAUCCCACUUCAAUUGUUUUCACAUCAGAGAUCGCACAUUGCUUAAAAAUAGAACCCAGAGAGUGCAUAUAAACGAGUUGCAACCCAAAUCACACGAAGUUUCUUUUGGGGGUGAGAAAGUGAUAAGAAACACUGUUUCAGUUUCGAAAUCCACACAAUGUAGCUAAAGCUAAACCAACCCAACACAGAACACAUAGAAAAGAAGCUUCUGACACUGAAACAGAGUGUUUGUUUGUGUUGAGACCUGAGGUGAGAGAUCUGCGGAGUGGUGGUGGCCAUGGUUGCUUGUAGGUGAAUGAACAGCGGCAGAAGGAAGAAAAAGAAGACCCACAUGGAAGUAGAAGAAGAAGAAGAAGAAGAAACGACCGCCAUUGCAGAAAGUUGAAUUCUCUUCGCUCUUGUUGCUUUGGAGAGAAUGAGAAUGUUGAAGAGAAAAAGAAAGAGAGAGAGAGAGAAAUGGAAGGAGUAGACUCAGAAGGACAGGUUCCAACAUAACGGUUUUUUAUAGACAGUAAACGAGAAACGCCAACCUUUUGACGGCGUUAGGUAACUGAUCGUUUUUCUUGUUUGCGUGUUGGACGUCCGUCUGACGGCGUUAUGGAAGAAAGUACUACUAGUGUUGUUUGUUGCUUUUAGCUUUAGCUUUAUUUUCUUCUUCUAUUUGUUUAACCCUUAGUGACUUUUUUACCCUCUCUCUCUCUCGCACGUGGGUGCAGUAGCUGUCACAUGCCGUCGCAGGGUAUGGUACUGUUACUAAUUACUGAUACUAACGCUAAUACUAAGAUCUAAAAUCUCACAUCAGCACCACGCACCACUUUCUCUCUUUUUACUUUCUACUUUUUUAUUUCCCGCUUUAUCCACCAGUCACUGCCCAACUAACUUCAAACGGUUUUUAAUUUCUCUACAAUAUCAUUGUGACUUAAUAAUUCACUUUUCUUUGUUUUCUUCCACUUUUCAUUUCUUUUAAAUUUUUUUUUUUUAAUUUCGUUUGCCUUAUCUAUUACUUAAAUUCGUGUUUUCAAGGCUUUGUUAACAGCAAUGGGAUUGCAAACCCCAAACCAUAAUGCUUAUCUUUUAACUAAAUAUGAUAUCAAAUAUGGAAACUAACAAAAUUCUCAAAAGAAUACAUAUAAAAAUUUACAUAACUAAAUAAAGUGUUUGGAUGAGAUGAUUUAGAAAGUAAUUUAUUUAUUUCAAAAUUUUAAGUUUUUCUUAUUAAAAUAAUUAUAAAAAAAUUGAAAUUUAAGUAAUUUUGAAGGGUGUUUUAAACGAAUAAAAUUAAGAAUUUUAAAUAUUGUAGAAAAAAUAAAAAUUUAAAAUUUUGUAAUAUGUUAAUAAGUAACUAGAAAUUGUUUUAUUUAUUGACUUGAGUUAAUGGAGAGACAAACUAACUCAAAUUUAUGGAUAUGAUGAGUCAAACCAAACUGAAGGUUGAGAUAAGCCGGUUCGAGUUUAGGAUCAAGAUGAGUUAGAGUCAAGCUAAAGGUUGAGGGGUCAACUCGGACCAAAAGUUGAUACAUGUCAACUUGGACUAAAGGUCAAGACAAGUCACGAGCCUAAGAUCAAGUCGUGUUUAUUCGAGUCGAAGGUUGACAUGAAUCGUCUCAAGCCUAAGGUCAAGACAAGUCGCCUAAACCAAAGGUUGAGUAGGGAGUCGAGUUAGUUCGGGUCCAAUGUCGAGACGAGUCGACCAGUGCUAAAAAUCAAGACAAUUCGACCUAAGUCGAAGGUUGUGACAAGUCAACCAAGGUCAAGACUCGAGGCUCGAGAUGAUUUAGCUAAGCUAAAGGUCAAAUCGAGUUAAGCUGGUCAAUAUCAAUGAUCGAGUUGAGUCGACUCAGGUCAAUGGUCGAACAAGGUUAGUUUGGAUCAAUGAUUAAGACAAGGUGUAGGUUGACACAACCGGUAUCGUCAAGUCGCGCAGCAGAAUAAAAUAAGUGGAAAGCGUGUUAUAGUCACAAAUCAAGUUACGAUGGUCCGUUUUUAGAAAAUUAGUUUUCUUAGAGAAAUUUUAUUGAAUAGUUGAUGUGCGAAAUUAUAAAGAGUGUACGGAGUGGAAAAAAUUCACACACAUAACUUUUAUACUGGUUCAAAUCAAAAGAUUCUACGUCCAGUUGUUAAUCACUAUAAAAAGUGAUUAACGUUUUCACUAAAAAUCAGUUUCGCAGAUUUACAAAAAGUGAAUAUGAAUAUAAUGAUAAAACCUUCCUUCGACUAAUGAACCGGAAGGAAGCUUCCUUCGACCAACGUACUGGAAAAAUGCAGAAACAAUCUUCCUUCGACCAACGAACCGUAAGAUAGCAGCUUUGCCAACACGAAGAGAAUCGCUCCGAUCUUUUACACACAAAACACGAGCUUCUCCUAUUCACGAGACCAGACAAUGAAAUGAACUAGCUUUUUGGAACUUCCUCAGAGAUACUGUAAGGGUUUAGAACACUUAUAUAUUGUCUACAGGUCUGAAUUUGAAAAUACACAUUACAAUUGCUAGUGAUAAUCGAUUAUUACAAGUUAUAAUCGAUUAUUCAAGUCCAUUACAGGGUUUUUCAAAAAGUGAUAAUCGAUUAUUCCGAGGAAUAAUUUAUUAUUCCAAAGACUUGGGCAUUUCUCAUUAGAACCUGUGAUAAUCGAUUAUUUGGAGCAAUAAUCGAUUAUUCCAGAGUGAAAUGGUUUUUCAAGAAAGCUCAAGAUAAUCGAUUAUUCCAACACAUGAUCGAUUAUAUGCGUAACUUUUCUAGAGAUACGAAAUUUCUAAGUUUCACACGUUUAAACUCUUUCCUAAUAUAUUUGCAAACUACUAAAGUGCUUUUAAAACAAUUUUAACUUGAUUCUUUGAGUUUUAUCACUUGCAACAUCAUCAAAAUCUUUUAUCUACAAAGUACCAAUGCUCCUCAUUGGUAACAUAAGGAAUCCUAGGGCGAAGGUCGAGUUGACCUUCGUCAAAGUUCAAGCUAGAUUGGUCUAGAUUAAAGGUCGAAUGGGUCGAAGAUCGAGAUGAGUCGACCAAAGCCAAUGUUUGAGAUGAUUCCGCUUGGACUAAUGAUUGAGAUGGCUCAAUUGGGUCCAAGGUUGAGUUGAUUCAGCCUAGACUAAGGGUUGAGCCUAGUCAGCCCAAAGUGAAGCUUCAAUCGAGUUGACUUAGGCCGAUGAUCAAGCUGAGUCAAUCUAGGUCAAAGGUUGAGAUGAUUUAGUCUAAACUAAUGGUUAAGAUGAGUCAAUCCAAGGUGAAGGUUAAGUCAAGUCACCCAAAUUAAUGAUCUAGCCGCGUUGACUUAGGUCAUUGGUUAAGUUGAGUACCUCGAACCUAAAAUUGAGUUGGGUUGUCCUAAACUGUUGGUCAAAAUGAAUCAAUCGAAUCAAUGGUCGAGCUGAGUUGACCAAUUAGAAAGUAUAAACUACUCAACCCAGACUAAAGGUAGAAUUAAGUUAGUCUUUCUCAAAUGUUGAGACAAGUCACUUUGGAUUGAAUAAUUAAGAUGAGUUGAUUCAUAUUGAAAGUAGAAAUGAGUUAUCUAAGUCAAAUGUCAAGCUAAAAUUAAUCGGUCCAAAUUGUAGAUUAUAUGACAUCUCAUUCCAUUUUAAAAACAAACUAACUCAAAUCAAACUGAAAAAUAAAAUCAAAUUAUCCAAAUAUUUUAAAAAUAAAAUUUUAUCUUAAAAGAUAAAUUAAAAUUUAUCCAAACAAAAUCAUUGAAAUUUAUGAUAUUACAAAAUUUAUAUUCAACCUAUUUAGUAAAUGAAGUAGAAUUAUUAGUGUGACGAUGUUCCUUAAAAAAAAAUUAGGAAAGUCACAACUAGCUUCCAGGAAACCUAAUAAAUAAAACAUAUCAUUAUUAACUUAUAUUAGUAGAGAUUAAGUUAUUAAGUUAAAAUCUCACCUCAAUGCAUAAAAACCUAUACAUAUCAACCAUGAAAGAAAAGUGAAAACUUUAUAUAUGCAAGAAAUAAAUAUUUACUCAAAAAUACAAGUUGAUCUGUCUAAUUGUCUUAAACUUUGUUAUCUUCCAAAAAUGUGGCAUCUAAUUAGAGAAAAUAUAAGAAAUGAUUUCAUAAUCUUAGAAAGUGGAGCGAAUUAAAAAAAAAUAAACUAUCUUCCAAAAUGUUUUCACACACAUGAAUAAAACACAUUUUAGAAUUUUAAUUUUAUUUUUAUAAAUCAUCAUUACUAAGCAUAAAAUUGCUCACUUAGAAUUUGAUUAAUAGUAUGUCAAAUUGAUUCUUAAAAUUAAUAUAAUAUUAAAAUAAUAUUUUAAAUUAUACAUCCUCAACGCUUUACUUCUGGAAACUAUCAACAUAUGUUACAUUUUUUACUUCUGGAUUUUUUCAUUGCAGUACUAAAUCAUGUCCUAUAUCUUCUUUCUCUAAUGCAUAAAAUACUCAAUACCAAACCAAGCACAACAUCAAUAUUUGGUAACCGUUAUCUCAUAUCAUAAUGAUUAAUAUUUCAAAUUCAUUUCAACACAACAUAUAAUUAUUUAAAAUAAUAAAUAUAAUCUUUUUAAUCUAAUUACUAUAAUCUUAUAAUUAUAUUUAUUAUAUCGAUUUUCUAUAACUAACUUCUUUAAUAUUCACACUAACUUCUACAACUAAUUAUAUCGAUUUUCUGUUAUAACCGUUUUAAUGGACUACGUAGAAUUACCUUUUUUAUACUACUUUUAUACUAAAAUUUCAAUUUUAAGAAAUAAAGUAAUAUUCUACGCUUUAAUUUUAUAUAGUUUAAAUUAAUUUCCUUGAUUUUAAUUUGCCCUCUGUUUUUUCUCCGUACACGUAAAUGAUUAAAGAAACAUAAGAAGGUUAUCUGAAACGCUGAAAUACCUCGCAAUGACGCAAUUGUAUAAAUAUAUAUUUGGAUCGGUUUUUGUUUUUACUUCUCUUAUAAGAAGGUUGAUUUUGAUGGGGCGAAAUUAAUGUUGUUUUCAUGUAUCAUUCAAGGAAUUCAAUUGAUUAUGCUUCAAGUUACCAUUGUUAAGUCUCAAAGAUUAUUAUAAUUAGACACCAUAAUCUACUAAUUAUGAUCUUAAUUUUUAAUUUAAAUCAAAAUUAACAAACCCAUAAUGUAAAUUGGUAUGAUUGCAUGAAAGGAAAGCGUGGAAGUGAGAUGUGGAAUUAUUAUAAUGUAAAUAAUAGGAAUUAAUAAAUAGAGAAUAAUAUGUGCAAUAAAUCAAGGGUGGAUGGUAGAGAAAGUGGGGACCACGGGAAAAAUGGGUGGGGGCAGAGACACAGGAUGAUAUUCCGGGGCGUUGGGACCGUACGAUUAUAUUUGGAUAAACACAAAAGAAAAAACCAAUCUCACAGUUUACUGCUGAUUUCACGCCCAAAAUGCACACACACAACGCGUAAGAAUAAAGACAACUAUAAACAACAACUAAAAGUUUCUAAUAAAUAUAUAUUUUUUAUUUAAUUAUCUAACCAAAAGCGUUUCAAUUUAACCGAUUAGGUUUAUAAAGUAUUAUUUUAAUUCAAUUUAGUCUUCCCAUGAAACACGUUCACCAAUCUCUCAACUAAAGGUUAAAACUCAAACCAUAGUAAAUUUAGAAUGUAAAAACAAAUAUUAAGAUCAUUUAAAGACUCCCUUAUAGUAAAUCAAAGUUUUUUAUCUCUUAAUAAUUGUGAUUAAUUUUUUUUUUUAUUUACAUCCCUCUUUAUUAACAUAAAUACAUUUUUUAAAGAUAAAAUCAUAAUUAUAAAAGUAAGUUUUAAAAUAGAUCUUAUAUAAUUUCUAAGACUAUCUUUUAUUUUUUAAUUUAUAAGACAUUUUUUAAAGAUAAGAUACACAUGAUAAUAUAAAUUAGACAAUUAAUAAAUUAUUCGACAAUUAACUUCGAUAAUUUCUUUUAAUAUUAAGGUAAUAAAUUUAUGUUUUACUUAACCAUAUAAAAUCUAUAAAGAAUUUAUUUUUUAUUUAUAUAUUAUAAUUUGAUUUUAUCUUUAAUUGAUAUAGAAAUUUGUUGAGAAGGUUAUAUAUAUAUAUAUAUAUAUAUAUAUAUAUAUAUAUAUAUAUAUAUAUAUAUAUAUAUAUAUAUAUAUUCACAUUGGUAAGAUAUUGUCUCUGUGAAUUAUCGCGGAUUUGUUUUUGAUAUCACUCCAAAAAGUCUCUUAUCAAUAGAGUUUAAAUCCAUAUCUAUCUCUUAUCUUAUCCCAUGUAAGAUUUUGUUUGUACCUCUAACAAAAUUUAUAUUUUUAUGUAAAGAUAUCUGAAAAUAAUAAACAUAGACAUAAAAGAAAAUUAAUAAUAUAUGACAUUAUAGAUUCAAAUUUCAGUUAUUACUUUAAUACCUUACUAAAAUAGAAAAUUUAAAUUUAACUUAAUGUUACGUAAUGAAUUCAGUAAAUUAAUACUUCUCUUUAUUUAUAUCUUAUAAUUUGAUCUAAAAUAUCUAUCCGUAAGUAUUACAAGUAUGAAACAUGAUUUCUUAAAGAAAUUCAAAAUUUAAUAAACUAAAAUUAUGCUAAUGCAGUCUUCAAAGGGGAAAAAAAAGUAAUGGUGAAUAUUUUGUUUUCUUUAGUUAGUAAAUUUUUUAUUUGGCAAGAUUGAUUCCGCGGAAACGUACGUUGAAGAUGCGCGCUAAUCACGGGCAGUGACUUUCUUUUGAAGAUUAAUGAGUUUGACGACUAUUAUUCCAUCACCAUUCAACCCUUACCAAUAAAGUUACACUUUUUCUAUUUAUUUUUUCUUUAAUUUUCUACAGUUAUAUAUAACAGUAUUCUUCAUUAUAUAAAAAAUUAGAAAUUGGGAAAAUUUACUUUAUUCUCUUGAUAGAAACUUGACAUUGCACUUAUAUGUUUUGGGUGGGGUAGCUUAUGACAACUUCAAACUUAUAAUUCUAACAUAUUCGAGUACAUAGAUCAACUUCUUAUCACCAAAUACAAUUCAACCUACUCGAUUUUAGGUGUCGGUUCUCUAUUUUUUAUUACUUUUCUUUCACCAUUUUUCAAAUUAAUUUUCCUCUAUCAAAUUCAUUAUGACUUUAAUUUUUAUGUGAUAGAUCACUUUUUGAUUAUAAUUGUUGACUUUUUCAUUUAAAAAAAAAAAACUAACAUUAGUGUAGAAAUGAGUUUUAACGUCAAUUUUUAGACAUUUGACACUUAAUAUCUAACGUAAAAAAUGACCGAUGAUACUUUCGUAAAUAAGUUUACAAUUUAGACGUUGAAUAUACUGGAAAGCCGACAUCUAUAAUGAUGAUGACGUCAGUCAAUCCAAUCGGACGCCAAAAAUAUGAUAGAAUUUAAUUUUUUACUGCUUUUAGACAUUCGACUGGGAUACCCCCAAUGUCUAUAGUGUCCCUACACGUCAGAUUGUUCCAUUGGAUGCCUAAAUGGUCGUGCCAGAAUGCAAGAAGUCAUUUUUUUCCACCCUUUAGACCUCCGAUCCCGCACACUGACGUCUAAAGGUUUAGACAUCGAUCCCCUAAAACUCACGACUAAUGACCUUCAUAGGUAGGUGAAAAGGUGGUUUUGAACGACGAUUCGUUAAUCCCGACGUCUAUAAUAAAUUGUUGAGUGUUUAAGUAAGUUAUGUAUGUAAAAUUAACGUUAGUUGAUAUAUUUUAAUAAUAUUAUCUAUAAUGGAUUUGUUUUUUGAAACACACAUUUUUAUUUUUUUUCAGUAAUUGCUUAUUUAAAUUUAAUUGUUUUUUAAAAUUAAAAUACAAAGAAGAUAAAAUAGAUUUUCUUUUUUAAAAAUAUGUAUAUGCAUAUGUUUCAUGUGUUGGCCUAGGGAUUAGAUUAACUGUUUUUGGCAAGAGGAACAUGUUUGAGUUAUAGUUAUUGAUUAUUUGGGAGUUAAGUUAUUUAAUACUUAAAUAUUUUAAGUGUGGAAAUGAACUAUAUGGUCUGAUUUAAUCUUAAUUUUCUUUUAAAAUAAAUUAGCAUUACAUGCUCUUUUUUUUAUAAAAUUUAUAAAUCAUGUCUUUGUAACAUUUUCUUGAGGUAUGCUAAAGCAACUACCACAUAUAUAUAUUAGCAACUUAUUUUUAUCAUAAAUAGAAAUAACAAAUUUUCUUGAAAUUUAGUAAGGAAUUAGAAUAAGAAUUAUUUCUUUUGGUGUUGUUUCUCAAUUAUGUAGUCAAAAUACGUACAUUGAUUUUGAUGUUCUAAGAUAUGUUAUUUCUAUGUAUGUUGUGUAUUCAAAAUACAAUGAUUUUAAUGUUUUAAGGUAUAUUAAAAAAAUUAAUAUAUCUAACAUCAAUAUUUUAAAGACUCACAUGAAUCAGUGGAGAAUUCAGACUCAAGAAAUUAUUAUAUUAAAACAUUCAUUUCAAUUGAAAGGUCUUUCAUUUUUCUAUAAAGUAUAAAUAGUUUUAAAGUAAUUGUACUUAAUUUCCUUUGCUUAAUAAAUCUAAUUAUAAAUUCUAUGGUCAUCUAAUUAAAUAUCAUGUUUAAAAAGGUACAAUUAAGAAGAAUAACUUAAUUAAUCACAAUGCACUAAAUUAUCGAAUAAACAUUAGUCAUCAAUAAAAUUAUAAUGACCAUUUCAUAUUAAUAUUACAUAAAAGAUUAUAUUAAUAAAUAUUGACAAUUCAAGUCUAAUGUUAAAUAAAUACAUUAUAAGUUUACAUCACUUAUCUUAGUUAUUUAUUGAGAUGUAAAUUAAGACAACUUUCCUUAUUGUUAGUUAGUUAAUUAACAAUUGUUUUUUUUAUCUCUUUCUUUCACAUGAUUAUAUAUAUCAUAAUGAUAGAUAAAGAUAAGAAAUAUAUAUAUAUAUAUAUAUAUAUAUAUAUAUAUAUAUAUAUAUAUAUAUAUAUAUUGUAUGAAAUGUUGUACAAAUCAUAUUUCUCAUUUCAAAAUAUAUGUAAUGAGCAAAAUAAAUAAUUAAAAUUAAUAAUUUUUUUUCCAAUGUGGACUACCUUGUCAUUUAUUCCUCUAUAACACAAGGGUUGAGUUUGACUUGUGAUCUUUCACUUUCUAUUCUAUGUUGGCAAAAUGAGGAAAUUUGACUUUAACCUAAGUCUUAUAUACAAGAGUGUUUCAGUUUUCAAUGUUUUGUUCACUUAACUUUCAAAACUAUGAGCAUGGGCCACAUGGCAAAAACUACUUGACUUACAUACUAUAGUAUUAUUAAAUAAUUCUUUUCUUUCUAGUCAUUUUCACAAUCAUCAAGAAAAUUAUUGUUUCAAAUUUUUCAUUUUACAUUAUCUGAAUACUUUACCAUUUAACAAAUAUUCAUUAAUUAGAAAACAAAUAACCAUUUAAAACUUUUAUCUAUGUAGUAUAAUAUAUUCAAUCAAGUGUGUAUAAUUCAAUGUUCUAAUUUACUUAAUUAGGAGUAUCAAAUUUUAAAUUUCCACAAAGAAAAAAUAAAUCGCAAUGUUCAUUUGUCCCGAGAUCCGAAUUAAUUAAAUAUUUGUUAUCUUAAUGUAUUAAUAAUUCUAGAAUGUUUUUUCAAAAAAUAUACUAUUUACAAAAUGCAUAAAUCAAUUUUGUAAAUAACUUAUAUUUGCCUCGGAAUCUUACAAACUAUUAUAAAAUCAGAAGUGAAACUUUUCUGAAAGCACUUACAUUCAGUUAUAUUUGAAUUAAAAUUUUAUUAACAAAAAAUUUAUAAAAUGAUUAUUUUAUUAUACAAAUAAUUAUCAUUUAAAAUAUUUUUUUAUUUUUGUGUAGGUAAAAUUAAUUAAUCAUUAAUUUAAUGUCCAUGUUUUGCAUGUAUUUAAUAUAUAAUUAUUACAACAGAAGAAAAACAAGUUAUAUGGAUAAGUUUUUUGACAGAUAGAUAUCUUAUGAGAUUUUGUUUAGUAUGAAAGACAUUAUUAAAACUUUUUCACUUUUUCUAAUGUUUAGAAAAAGAAAAGAAAUAGACAGCAAUCUCCAACCAAUUCCCACACCAAACUACUUUUGACAAACAAAUCAUUCCUCAAUCCAUGCCACAUGUUGCUGCUCAUUUGCCCUAAUUUCCCUUUUCUUGUUGCAAAUUAGGAUUCUCUGAAAGAGUGUGUGAGAAACUGAGUCAAAACCUAAGACUUGCCAACCCCUAAACCAAAAUAAGAAAGAAAAUUGAAAGAAAGAUUACAAUGGCAUAAUGGCCAACAUGUGAAUGCAUCUAUUGGUGCAUGUGACACAGUCUGCAGAUUUCAACUACACCGUUAAUUAAUGUAUUUUAAUACAUUCAAUUCUUAAUUGCUAUAUCAGUCAAACUACACCAAAACCCUAUAUUACGUCUGUGCUUCUCUGUUCAGUUUUCACAUUCUGCAUAUUAGUUACAUAACUUUAAUUAAAUACCGUUGUUUAUUUUUAACAUUUUAUUAAACUUCAGAAAUUGUAUACAUUGGUAUUGAAAAAAUUGAUGAUUUUGAAAUUAUGUGUUUACUUAUGAAUAUACAUAUUACAAAAUUUAGUUGUAUGGAAAAUUAAACUUAGAAAAUAGAUAGAGUAUUAGAAUUAUAGUAGGUGUUUUAAAAUAAAUCAAUAAUAUAAAUAAAAUUUUAUUAAUACGUCUUAUUACUUAAAACAUUGUAUAUCUUUCUAAAACUCUUCUCUUAAUUUUCCCUCACAUCUCUCUAAGAUUUCUCAUUCCUUAAUUAUUUGUUUGAUGAUCAAGAAUUUCCUAGGAGAUCACAGCCGAGUCAUCUCUACAUUUAUCUGAUCAAUUUAUGUCAUAGAGCAAGUAAGUUUCGACUCCUUUUCCCUCUUUUGCUCUUAAUUUGAAAUUAGAAGAAGAGAUUGUCGUCGCACGCGUAAUCUUGUUUCUUCUACUUGUUCUUUGUUAAUCUAAGGUCCUAAGGACUCCUUCUGUUUUCAAUUUGAUGUUUCGUAGGUGUUUCAUAGGUGUUUGUAGAAUUUUCUUUCGUUCCAAGCAAUUAGGGAGACGUUUCUAGAGUUAAUAGUUCCUUGUGAGGUAAGGGAAGCUAGACUUAGUCUUAGAUUUAUGUUUAUGGUUUAAAUAUAGUAUCCCUAUGGAUGAUAAUGUGAUUUAAGUGAAAUUGUUAUGUUUAUACCAAUAUUCUUGGUGUAUAGAUGAUGAAUAAUGAUUGUGUGAUGUUUGAAUGUUUGGUAUGGUGUGGUUGUAAUGCUUCUACUGUCAUUAUUGUGUGGUGAAGUUGUAUCGUGGUUUGAAACUAAAUUUAAAGUGUUUGAAGUAAAGAAGAGUCAAUUUCU